UAUUAAAGGCAACGCCUGCCCAGUGAAUAAUUAAACGGCCGCGGUAUCCUAACCGUGCAAAGGUAGCAUAAUCAUUUGUCUAUUAAUUGUAGACCCGUAUGAAAGGCAAAAUGAGGGUCCAACUGUCUCUUAUAAUACAUCAAUUAAACUGAUCUUCUAGUACAAAAGCUAGAAUACUAACAUAAGACCAGAAGACCCUGUGAAGCUUUAACUAAACUAUUAAACCACUUAAUAACUACUUUCGGUUGGGGCGACCUUGGAAUAAAAAAGAACUUCCAAAUAUCAACAUUACAUUAAAGGCAGACAAGCCCACAUAAGACCCAGCAUAGCUGACAAUUGAACCAAGUUACUCCAGGGAUAACAGCGCUAUCUUCUUCAAGAGCCCAUAUCAAAAAGAAGGUUUACGACCUCGAUGUUGGAUCAGGACAUCCUAGCAAUGCAACCGUUACUAAGGGUUCGUUUGUUCAACGAUUAAUAGUCCUACGUGAUCUGAG
rnacentral:rRNA from 1 species